ACUACGGGAGGCAGCAGUGGGGAAUAUUGCACAAUGGGGGAAACCCUGAUGCAGCGACGCCGCGUGAGUGAAGAAGUAAUUCGUUAUGUAAAGCUCUAUCAGCAGGGAAGAAAAUGACGGUACCUGAGUAAGAAGCCCCGGCUAACUACGUGCCAGCAGCCGCGGUAAUACGUAGGUGGCAAGCGUUAUCCGGAUUUAUUGGGUGUAAAGGGCGUGUAGGCGGGAAAGCAAGUCAGAUGUGAAAACUCAGGGCUCAACCCCCGGACUGCUCUGGAAACUGUACGGCUGGAGUGCAGGAGAGGUAAGUGGAAUUCCUAGUGUAGCGGUGAAAUGCGUAGAUAUUAGGAGGAACACCAGUGGCGAAGGCGGCUUACUGGACUGUAACUGACGUUGAGGCUCGAAAGCGUGGGGAGCAAACAGGAUUAGAUACCCUGGUAGUC
rnacentral:rRNA from 1 species